UACAGAGGGUGCAAGCGUUAAUCGGAAUUACUGGGCGUAAAGCGUGCGUAGACGGUUAUGUAAGUCGGGUGUGAAAGCCCCGGGCUCAACCUGGGAAUUGCAUUCGAGACUGUGUAGCUAGGGUACGGAAGAGGGAAGCGGAAUUUCAGGUGUAGCGGUGAAAUGACGUAGAUAUCUGAAGGAACACCAGUGGCGAAAGCGGCUUCCUGGUCCAGUACCGACGUCAGGCACGAAAGCGUGGGGAGCAAACAGG
rnacentral:rRNA from 1 species